AUGGCCAAGGCGGAGAAGCUGGUGGUGGAGGUGGUGGCGGCGCACAACCUGAUGCCCAAGGACGGGCAGGGCUCCUCGUCGGCCUACGUGGAGGUGGAGUUCGAGCACCAGAAGCGCCGCACCCGGCCGCGCCCCCGGGAGCUCAACCCCCUCUGGAACGAGCGCCUCGUCUUCCCCGUCGCCGACCCCGACGACCUCCCCUACCGCGCCAUCGACGUCGGCGUCUACAACGACCGCGCCGCCGCCGCCUCCGGGAAUAGCCCCCACGGCCGCAACUUCCUCGGCAAGGUCCGCGUCCCGGCCGCCGGCGUGCCCGCGCCAGGGGAGCCGGUUGUGCCGCAGCUCUUCACGCUCGAGAAGCGGAGCUUGUUCUCGCAUAUCCGCGGUGAGAUCACGCUCAAGAUUUACCGCGCCGGCGCCGGGGCCGGCGAGAUGGUCGCCAAGGGCAAGCAGGAGAAGCCCGCCAAGGCGGUGGUGACUGGCCCCGAGGUCGUCGCCGCGCCGCCUGUGAAUGGCGGCAAGAAGCACCAGCAGCAGCAGCAGCACCGGCACCAGCGCCAGCAGCCGGUUGUGGCCGCGCGGCCGCAUCAGCCGGCGCAGCAGCCGCAGCAGCCCAUGGACGUCAUGCCGCAGCCCCAGCCGGCGGCCAUGAAGCCGGUCAUGCUCGCCGACCACUACCCCGUCCCGGCCAUGUUCCCCGGCGGGCCCGCGGACUUCUCCCUCAAGGAGACGCGGCCACACCUCGGCGGCGGCCUGACGGCCGACAAGGCGAACGCCACCUACGACCUGGUCGAGCAGAUGCAGUACCUGUACGUGCGCGUGGUGCGCGCGCGCGGCGUGGCCACGCCCGGCGAGGCCGUCGCGGAGGUCAAGCUCGGGAACUACCGCGGCGUCACGCCGCCGGCCGCCGCGCACCAGUGGGACCAGGUCUUCGCCUUCUCCAAGGAGACCAUCCAGUCCUCCUUCGUCGAGGUGUUCGUGCGCGCCCGCGGCAGCGACGACCAGGUCGGCCGCAUCUGCUUCGACCUCUCCGAGGUGCCCCGCCGCGCGCCGCCCGACAGCACGCUGGCGCCGCAGUGGUACGCCAUGGAGGACCGCAAGGGCGAGCGCGGCAGCGUGGAGGUGAUGGUCGCCGUGUGGUACGGCACCCAGGCCGACGAGGCCUUCGCCGAGGCGUGGCACUCCAAGGCCGCCGGCGUCCAGGGCCACGGCCCCCUGGGAUCCAUCAAGUCCAAGGUCUACGUCGCCCCCAAGCUCUGGUACCUCCGCGUGUCCGUCAUCGAGGCGCAGGACCUGCUUCCCAUGGACAAGGGGCCCAUGGCGAUGGGCCGGUACCCGGAGCUCUUCGUGCGCGCGCAGAUCGGGAGCCAGAUGCUGCGCACACGUGCGUCACCGAUCAUGGCGAACCGGGGGCCGACGAGCCCGUUCUGGAACGAAGACCUCAUGUUUGUGGUUGCCGAGCCAUUCGAGGAGUUCUUGGUGGUGUCUCUGGAGGAUCAUGUGUCGCCGGGCAGGGACGACAUCCUCGGCCGCCUCGUCGUCCCGGUGACUGCCAUUGAGAGGCGCUGGGAUGAGAAGCUUGUUGUCUCCAGGUGGUUCGGGCUGGACCGCGGCAACGGCGGCGGCAAUGUCGCCGCCAACAAUCCGAACAACAGGUUCGGGAGCCGGGUGCAUCUCCGGCUAAGCCUCGACGGCGGCUACCAUGUUCUGGAUGAGGCAACGGCGUACAGCAGUGACCUCCGGCCGACGGCGAAGCAGCUGUGGUACCCGCACGUCGGGGUGCUCGAGCUCGGCGUUCUCGGUGCCACCGGACUGAUACCGAUGAAGGGCCGGGCCGAUGGCAGGGGCGCGACGGCGGACUCGUACUGCGUCGCGAAGUAUGGGCAGAAGUGGAUCCGCACGCGCACCGUCGUCGACUCGGUGUGCCCCCGCUGGAACGAGCAGUACACCUGGGAGGUGUUCGACCCCUGCACCGUCAUCACCGUCGGCGUGUUCGACAACUGCCAUGUCGACAAGCCGGCGGCGUCAGGGAACAACAACACCACGGUGGCUGUCCGUGACAACUGCAUCGGCAAGGUCCGCAUCAGGCUCUCGACAUUGGAGACCGACAGGGUGUACACUCAUGCCUACCCUCUGCUCAUGCUGCAUCCCUCCGGCGUUAAGAAGAUGGGGGAGCUCCACCUGGCCGUGCGCUUCUGCUCUAGCAAUGCCGGCAACAUGUACCAUGCCUACGCCCGCCCGAUGCUCCCCAAGAUGCACUACGUGGAGCCGCUGCUGGUGCGGCAGGUCGAGAGCCUGCGGUUCCAGGCCACGAGCGUCGUCGCCGCCCGGCUCGGCCGCACCGAGCCGCCGCUCGGCAAGGAGGUCGUGGAGUACAUGUUGGACCACCGCUCGCACCUGUGGAGCAUGCGGCGCAGCAAGGCCAACUUCUUCCGCCUCGUCUCCGUGCUCUCCGGCGUGAUGGCGGUCGGGCGGUGGUUCGAGCUGGUGCGCUCCUGGCACUACCCGGUGCACUCGUGCGUCGCCGUGUUCACGUUCCUGGUGUUCGUCCUGAUGCCGGAGCUGAUCCUGCCGACGGCGUUCCUGGUGAUGGCCUUCACCGGGCUGUGGCGGUACCGCGUGCGGCCGAGGCACCCGCCGCACAUGGACAUGCGGCUGUCCCACGCGGACGCGGCCACCGGCGACGAGCUGGACGAGGAGUUCGACACGUUCCCGUCGAGCCGCGGCGACGUGGUGCGCUUCAGGUACGACCGGCUCCGCAGCGUGGCCGGGAGGGUGCAGACGGUGGUGGGCGACAUCGCGACGCAGGGCGAGCGGAUGCAGGCGGUGCUCAGCUGGCGCGACCCGAGGGCGACGAUGCUCUUCUCCGUCGCCUGCGUGGCUGCCGCGGUCAUCGCCUACGCCGUGCCGAUGAAGCUGCUGGUCGGGCUGUGGGGCCUCUACGCCAUGCGCCCGCCGAGGUUCCGCAGCCGGAUGCCGUCCCCGCUCAUGAACUUCUUCCGGAGGCUGCCGUCCAAGGCCGAUAUCCUGCUAUGA
rnacentral:rRNA from 1 species